UACAGAGGGGGCAAGCGUUGUUCGGAAUUACUGGGCGUAAAGGGCGCGUAGGCGGCCUGCUAAGUCGAACGUGAAAUCCCCGGGCUCAACCCGGGAACUGCGUCCGAUACUGGUAGGCUUGAAUUCGGGAGAGGGAUGCGGAAUUCCAGGUGUAGCGGUGAAAUGCGUAGAUAUCUGGAGGAACACCGGUGGCGAAGGCGGCAUCCUGGACCGACAUUGACGCUGAGGCGCGAAAGCCAGGGGAGCGAACGGG
rnacentral:rRNA from 1 species